CCUCUUCAAAUGUCGCUAUGGCAACGUUGCCGGAGAGCACAGCUUCUUCAUCUGUAUCUCCCGCUUUCCCCUUUUCUGUACUCUCCUCUUCCUAUUCCCUCCUUUAACAGCGAAGCAGUCAGCAUCUCUAGCUGCCACUGAAGGCUGUGUGUGGCAAUUAUUUAGCAGUUUGCUGAAUUCCAGAAGUUGGCACAGACCAGACGGACCAUUGCACUUCUCUCCCAAAGCAGGCCACUGACAUGUCCAGUUCAUCUCUUCCCAUGCCGAGCUUAGUGCUCCCCAUCUCCAGCAGCUCAGCAUACAGAGAGGGGGACAUGACCACCACCCCUGCUAUCCUCCCCAGCCUUCAAUCCGGGGAAGAUUACAUGAACGUUCACAACAUCAUCAUUGUCAUCAUCUUCUGCAUGGUGUGCUUCCUCUUGCUGAUGGCCUUUUUCUACACUUUCUGUUUCCACUGCACGCUGCAAUCCUCAGCCAAAGAUAGCCACACCAAUGCGGGCUGCAGCGUGGAGAGAGAGGAUGCCACCUACAGACGCAGCUCUUCCAGCCCUUCUCUUGGAAAUACCAUCUGAAAUGAGUCCUAUCAUACAUCACUGCUCUUUCUUACUGUCCACUGAGAACAUUUGCCACCACUUAUUUUGUCCUCUAUGAAGGUGAUAUGCAGUUGCAAUCAGCUGGACUACGUCUCCCAUCAUGCAACAGAGCUGUUUCUAUGGUUAAUCUCAUUGAAACACCAUCUUCCAUUGAUUCCUAAACUUAAAAGAAGCUCAUUACAUGAGCUAGGAACCCUCCUAGGAGCAUCAUAACCAUCUGGUAGCCUGUUUUCACUUUCGAGGAAUAUGACCCAUCAAUGGAAACUACUUAGUCUAUGUACUGCUGUGGAAACAACUGUUUAUCCAUUAUUAUUUCACACUGAUGCACUAGCUUCUGUACCAAAGUGAGCAUUUGUUAUAUAACUGUUAAGACUCAGUCUUUGUUAUAAUGUCAUAGUGGUUUUGCCCUAAGCAACAAGCACAGGCAUUAUCCAUGGAAACUGCUUAAAAAUGGCAAUUUAAAAUGUUAUAGAUGUGCAUUUUGAGGAGCUAAUUACAGUAAUGUUCAAAAGUCAGAGACCCUGUUAAUGUCUAGUCAAACCAGCCUUUAAGCUCUGAACAGUUUAUUCAUCUGAUAGUGUCAGGGGAAAAAGCAGGAACCAUUAUUUAACACAUAAUUAUACAGAAGCUUCAACAACUACACAUAUUUCUUCAGCACUCAUUGUGUUGAACCUUUGCCUUUAUUAUGGCUUCCAUGCUUUUCAGGGGUGGUGCUUUUGUUUUUCAAAGAAAUCCACAGGGAUUUCAGUCUUCUCACAUUCCAAGUAAUCCCAAUUCCAAAUUUACACUCAUCAGUCUAGAAAUCCUCACUCCGCAUCUGAGGCAAUUUCAUUUCCUUUUCGAAGCUGACAGCUCCACAUCCUUUCAGACUCACAGGCGUUGAAUUGUCAUCUCACAGUGCAAGGAUGGACAGAAACACCUGUGGAUUUUUUAACAUCUAAAUCAGGUUAGUCUACCUGGUCUCGCUUGGUUUUUAAGAGCCCCAUUUUCUCUUUAUCUUUUAAUCAUUUUUUAAACUUCAGUUUUGUAAAACUCCUGCCUUUUUCAUUUGGCUUUUACAUCCAGUUAGAUUAUCUUAUGACUUAUUUCCUGGAAAAUAUCUGCUAUAAUGUGUAGUAAAUGGCUAUUUUGACUAGAAAUGUUAUAAAUGAAGGGCGUUCUCUGACUUUUAUAUAGUGCUGUAAGUAGCACACAUUAAAAUGUCAAACUCUAACUUCUUAUGUGCCACAGUGGACAUGAGCACGGUCUGUCAGAGUUAAACAACGCCACAGUUUUUGUUGUUUUCCUUAUGUACUCCAGUAUAAUUCAGAACUGAAACAAAGGCCAUCAGCUUUAAUUUGGGGGCAAUGUACAUUCUUGCUGGGUGACACAUGUAGGGAAUAUAUAUAUUUUUAUGUGUAGUUCCCAUAUAAGUAAUUGGACAGAAUGAUACCAAGUUGUUUUGUUUUUGUCCAGCUAUGUUUGUUCAUGCAUAAAAAAGCUACCAAAAGUGUAGUAGUUGUAUUCACAUCUGAAGCCUGCCACCCUUUCCUCUUAACAUGAGCACAAAAUAAAUGUAGAUGUCGGUAAAGCAGGCUGUCAUAAGGCUGAAAAAUAAGAAGAAAUCAAUGGGAGAUGUGGCCAAAAUAUUGAAUACACUUUUCACAUAUUGAAGGGAUCAAGAAUAUGGUGAUACUCUGUGAGAUCUAGGGACUGAUGUAUCCAAGAAUACCAUAAAGAGAGCAAUAUAUCUGGUAACAUUAGAUGUUUCAACACAAAUUGCAAACCAGUGGUAAGCCUUAAAAACAGAACGGUCAAUGUAUAAUUUGCUGAAGUACUUAAAAAUUCUUGGAGAGUCAUGAAACAUGCUUGCUAGGGACACCAGUUUUAG